CAAAGGGCGGGUCACAGACGGAUUUCUCGGUUAUCAAAAUAAAAUAAAAAUAUACCUUGUGUUUAGGACACCUAAUGGGUAGGAACUAAGACUAGGGAUAUAGGUGGGUUCAAGUUAAGGUAAUCAGGAAGUUUGAGUAGGAAUGGAGUAGGUAUUAUAGUCUAUGUUGCUCAGAUUUUUCAAAAAUGUCAAGUUGUGCAUGUCGGAUACUCCAAAAGUAGUGCAUUUUGGAGAAUUCGACACGGGUGCGGCAACAAUUUCAGAGAGUCCAAGCAACAUAGAUUUUAGAGGAAGAUCCUAAUGUAUCCUAUAAAUGAAGUCACCAACGUGAACUGGCUAGCUGCUAUACAUGAUGGAGAAUUUGGCAGUCUGCCAUCAAUUUACUUGGGACUACCUCUGGGGGCUAAAUCUAAAUCUAUACAAAUAUGGGAUAGAGUGAUAAAGAAGUGUGAAAAAAAGCUAGCCAGGUGGAAAACUCAAUACCUCUCCUUAGAGGAAGACCGACUCUCAUUAAUUCAGUCCUUGAUACUUUACCAACUUAUAUGAUGCGUUUAUUUCCCAUCCCACCAGGGGUUAUCAAAAGGUUGGACAACAUUAAGAGAGAGUUUUUGUUGCUGGGAAACAAAGAAAAGAAAGGGUACCACCUGGUAAAAUAGAAAUCUGUGAUGACUGCUAAGAAGAAUGGGGGCUUGGGAUAAAGAAUCUGGAAUUUCAAAGCAAAGCUCUUAGAAUGGAGUGGUUAUGGAGAUAUGCCAAUGACAGACAGUUGUUGUGGAGCAGGGUCAUUGGUGCCAAAUAUGAAGCGGGAGACAGCAGGGUCCAAAAUGUGCAUCUAUGCCAGGGAUUGGGGACCAAAUCUACAAUUUAUCCAAGAUGACCUCGGUUCCUGUUAGACUAAGGGGAGCUGUUUUGAAAAUCAAUUAACAUUUGGCUCGAGAGGUGAGAAAAUUCAAGUUCGCUAUGUUUUAUGUUUAACAGAUCGGCAAUUUAGGGAAAUUUGGUUAUUUAGUGUUUCAGGCAUGUGAUUCUUCAAUGUUUAUUUGCUUAACAUCAGGCACAUAAAUUCUAAAUAUCACUGAAUCAAUUAUCCUGUAAAGCAAGAGAUUAUUGAUAAACAUAAAAGGCGGGAUAUAGGUGGUUAAUAGAACUUACGCUUGAUGCUACAAUGGCAACAUGGCCCUUGUUUACCCAUAAAAUCUGGUUCUGAAUGAUUCCUGUUCAAAUCAGGUUGAAGCUACUGUUGCUAACGUUAGAGUUGGAUUUGCUUUCAAAAUCUAAAAAUGUCUGACUGAGGCGACGGAUAAAAUAUAUAGACAGAUAAGAAAUCAGUAGACUACAGCUGGUCAUUUAUUUAUGGAAAUAGAUUAAUCAUGAUACGGGGUCAUUAACUUUGAUCUAUUCUGUUUUCCCUUUUGUGACAGCUCAUCAAUUUUGAUUACUGUAAUUUCUCAACUAUUGACAAUAGAACUCCAAUGAGAGAAAUCUUAGAUUCUCUAUAAAAAAAAAUGGGAGUGGGGAUUUGGGGUUGGAGUGGAUGGGUGAAUGCUGGAUUUGGUGAAUCUUCACAAUUUUAGGCCUUUAGUUUAGUGGUCAAGGCUUGUUAAGCAACGAAUCUUAAGACAAGGGAGUAUUAAAUAUUUUCUAUAUGAUAAUUGAAAUAUCUAAGAGUGAGCAAAUAAGAGAGUUGCCAAAUAACCAAGUGAAAAGAAAAUCAGUUGCCAAAAACUUUCCAAUUGACUGUCUGAAUACACCUUAGUGAACUUCCAAAUCAUGAAUGUUCUCAUGUUUUUUCUUGGCAGCUUUAUUGUCGAUUUCUGAGGUACUUAUCUCAACUGUUUGUUCUGACGACUCGACUCGCAAUAUUUUGCUGCAGUUUCAACACAGAUGUUCUGGCUUAGCCUCUGCCUCUUUGUGAUGAUUUAACUUGCUGGAUUCUCAGAAAUCUAAUGGUCAACCUGAAAAGCAAAGUGAUCAUACCCAUUAGUGUAUGAAAUAUGAGCGAGUUCAGUUUUGUUUGACCCAUUUUCAACUCAUUUGCCGGCACCACUAAUAUCUUACGGGGAAGAGCCUUGCAUAUUCUUUGUUUAAUGGAAAAGUAUUUAGUUUUUAUGUCACGAUAAGCAAAUUAAUGAUCAAUGCAUAAUGGCAUAUUGAUUCUUGAAAGAAACAUCAAGUAAGUUGAAUAUUGGUCACUAAAACAAGACAAGCAAGGCAUCCUUGUUGUCUAUUGAGUAACUUUGUUCACCAAAAUUAAGCAUGUGAUUAUAUUGUGUGAUCUUA